rnacentral:pre_miRNA from 1 species
CAAGUACUCCCUUCGUCUGGAAUUACUUGUCAUCAAAAUGGAUGUGUCUAGAACUAAAAUACAUCUAGAUACAUCCAUUUCAAUGACAAGUAUUUCCGGAUGGAGGGAGUACAAG